rnacentral:rRNA from 1 species
GACGAACGCUGGCGGCGUGCUUAACACAUGCAAGUCGAACGGAAAGGCCCUGCUUUUGUGGGGUGCUCGAGUGGCGAACGGGUGAGUAACACGUGAGUAACCUGCCCUUGACUUUGGGAUAACUUCAGGAAACUGGGGCUAAUACCGGAUAGGAGCUCCUGCUGCAUGGUGGGGGUUGGAAAGUUUCGGCGGUUGGGGAUGGACUCGCGGCUUAUCAGCUUGUUGGUGGGGUAGUGGCUUACCAAGGCUUUGACGGGUAGCCGGCCUGAGAGGGUGACCGGCCACAUUGGGACGGAGAUACGGCCCAGACUCCUACGGGAGGCAGCAGUGGGGAAUAUUGCACAAUGGGCGGAAGCGUGAUGCAGCAACGCCGCGUGCGGGAUGACGGCCUUCGGGUUGUAAACCGCUUUCGCCUGUGACGAAGCGUGAGUGACGGUAAUGGGUAAAGAAGCACCGGCUAACUACGUG